UACGAAGGGGGCUAGCGUUGCUCGGAAUCACUGGGCGUAAAGGGUGCGUAGGCGGGUUUUUAAGUCAGGGGUGAAAUCCUGGAGCUCAACUCCAGAACUGCCUUUGAUACUGAAGAUCUUGAGUCCGGGAGAGGUGAGUGGAACUGCGAGUGUAGAGGUGAAAUUCGUAGAUAUUCGCAAGAACACCAGUGGCGAAGGCGGCUCACUGGCCCGGAACUGACGCUGAGACGCGAAAGCGUGGGGAGCAAACAGG
rnacentral:rRNA from 1 species